rnacentral:lncRNA from 1 species
UGUGUUUUUAUUGAAAGGUUAAUGAUUGCAAACAUUUAAAUAGUUAAAUCAACUCCUUAGCUGAGUGUGGGGUUACAGAGGAUGGGAACAAACAAGCCUAACUCUUCUGGGAAGACUGCUAAGGAAUUUUUGAGAAUGCUGGCUUUGUGCUGUGCCCAAGUGACCAGAGGAGUGAAAUGAAGACAAAUGGCAGUAAAAUAAUUCCAGAGAGCUGCCACAAUGCAUUC